rnacentral:misc_RNA from 1 species
AAGAAAUAAUCUCGAGGGCCUUCGGAAAGGAGAGAGGGUUGUAGCUGGCUUAAGCAUGUGCACGCCCUCUUUCUCGACCUAGGUCCUUAUGGGCGCGGGGCGACCCGCGUCUUCAUAAGCCCCUUCGUGUAGAAAGUCUAUGAAUGUUUUUACCAUCAUCGACUCGCGACUUCUAGGAGACGCGAUUCUUUGAGACAAAAGUUUAUUA